rnacentral:lncRNA from 1 species
AGGAGAGGGAAGCACGUCUUUUUGAAGAUCCCUAUGUAGUUAAGGACUUCUGAAGGAUGGUUCAGAACACAUCUGCAAGAAUUGGUGCAUGUUAUUCAUUGGGCAGAAGUUAUUUAAGAUAGAGAAGAUAUUCUCAACCAGAAGAAACUGAAGUUGCAAGAUAUUCACAAAUUAGCUGAACUGCCUUAUAGAUUCGAAAUAUAAUCCUUUACAUUAAAAAUACUAUAAUUACAAAUGAAAUUAAUUCUGAUUAAAGUUGUGGAAUGCAAUGUCAAUAUUAUAAGCAUGCUUAUUCGUGUUUGCCUAAUAUUUUAACUAGCUGUUUUUGUUGCUGCAAGCCAUCUACUAUGCUUUAAUAAAAAUGAAUAUAAAUAUCAGUCCAGUCCUGUGAACAUCUUCAGUACAGAAGUAUAGUUUAUGAUCAAUCUGUGAGACUCUUGUCUAAAUAUCAGCC